CCUACGGGUGGCAGCAGUGAGGAAUAUUGGUCAAUGGACGAGAGUCUGAACCAGCCAAGUAGCGUGAAGGAUGACUGCCCUAUGGGUUGUAAACUUCUUUUAUAUGGGAAUAAAAUGUUCCACGUGUGGGAUUUUGUAUGUACCAUACGAAUAAGGAUCGGCUAACUCCGUGCCAGCAGCCGCGGUAAUACGGAGGAUCCGAGCGUUAUCCGGAUUUAUUGGGUUUAAAGGGAGCGUAGGUGGAUUGUUAAGUCAGUUGUGAAAGUUUGCGGCUCAACCGCAAAAUUGCAGUUGAAACUGGCAGUCUUGAGUACAGUAGAGGUAGGCGGAAUUCGUGGUGUAGCGGUGAAAUGCAUAGAUAUCACGAAGAACUCCGAUUGCGAAGGCAGUUCACUGGACUGCAACUGACGCUGAGGCUCGAAAGUGUGGGUAUCAAACAGGAUUAGAUACCCUGGUAGUC
rnacentral:rRNA from 1 species